GAGAUGGAGUCUCGCUCUGCUUCUCAGGUUGGAGUGCAGUGGCCCGAUCUCGGCUCCCUGCAAGCUCCGCCUCCCGGGUUCACGCCAUUCUCCUGCCUCAGCCUCCUGAGUAGCUGGGACUGCAGGCGCCCGCCACCACGCCCGGUUUAUUUUUUUGUAUUUUUAAUGGAGACGGGGUUUCGCCGUGUUAGCCAGGAUGGUGUCGAUCUCCUGACCUCGUGAUCCAUCCGCCUCGGCCUCCCAAAGUGCUGGGAUUACAGGCAUGAGCCACCGCGCUCGGCCUGGAAUUUCUUAGUCUUGCCCUUGAGAGUUCUCAUUUCUGAUUUCAGGAAUGAUGUUAUCACUCUCUUAACUUGUAUCGAAUUAGUCAUGUAACUUCUGUAGGUCUAUUUCAUCUGUAAGUAGAAGAUAGGAUGGUGGGUGGUCCUUUUUCCCUAAAAUAUCCAUGGGAUAAAAUAAAAUGGUAAGGCUUAUUAGAAUGCUUCUGCUUGCAAGUUGAGCUUUUCAAAAAAACUGAAUAGGUAGUUGAUGUUGUAAGAAUUUUUACGUUUCUUCCUUCGUUAAGAGCUAAGGCUCAGUAUUGCAUGUGGUAAUAGCAUAUUUUAAAAAGACGAAAUAGAUUAGACUAUCUUUUUGUGAUGGCUUAAAGAGAAAGUGACAUAAUGAAGAUGUUUUGCAUGAUUUGAAACCAUUAAGGAGUCUGAUAUAUUUUUAUCAUAUUUCUCUAUUAUUAAGGAUAGUAAUACGUUUUGUUCCUAAUAAAUGAUUUUAGGAUUUGGUAUAGUUUUUUAUCUCAGCUUUUUUUUAAUGUUUAUAUUAAAUACUUUUGAGAUUCAGAGCUUUAGGCCCAUAGCAGUGUUACCUUGUAUCAAGGCAGUUUCAACUUUUCUUCAUUUAUAAAGCAGAAGUGUAUACCUUGAGUGUAGAAUUCUCAGUGUCCCCAUUUUACUCCUUUUUUUUUCUUAUGGCUGAAUUUAUUUAUGUAAAAUUAUUACAAUUUAUUAUAAAGUUCAACAUUAAAUUGUAUUUAGUUCUACAUUAAUGAAAUGAUCUUUACUGGGCUUAAUAAACACACAAAUAGAAAAGUACCAAUUGCAGUAAUAAAAAUAUAUAUGCAUGAAUGAAAAUCAAAGAGGAAAAGUAGAGGGCAAAGGAGUCGUAAAAGCAUGAUUUCAAACCUUUCCUCUAUGUCACACUGGAAAAGUUACUUCACUUCUCCGUGCCUCAUUUCUUCAUGUGUUGAAAAGGAUAAAAAUAAUACCUACCUUUCAGAGUUAUUGUGAGGAUUAAAUGAGGUAAUGCACAUAAAACUUAUUGCACACUGUCUAGAUUUGUAUAAGCACCCAAUACAUUUUAUUAUUUGUGUUAAUUUUUCAUCAAUUUGUUGUUGAAGCUGAUACCUUUUCCUAAGUGGGUCUUUAAAUUGUUCUGCUAUUUUUCUGCAGUUCCCAAAAGACUAGCUUCAUUAAAUCAUUAAUUUUAUAAUUCACUAUUUAUUUGUUAGCACUAGAUGUCUGCAGGGUGCAGGGGAUAUGGAGCAUAACAUGGCAGAAAGAGCCUCUGGCUUUAUGGCACAUGCAAAAUCAUGGAAAUAAAGAGGAAUUAAGCAAUGUAUCCCUCAUUAAUUAGUUAUAGUUAAAAUUGUGCUGAUUCAUGUGUAAAGAAGUGGUCUGCAUUGCAUAGUACCCAUUUUGACUAUACUAUGCUGUACUCUAAUUAGAUUAUAAGGAUAUGGAGGACCUAAAUGAGAUGGUGAUCAUUGGUUAAAUGACCUCAUCUAAACUUUGUUACUGUUUUUUACUGAUCUACCUGUAUAAGAUAUGGUUGCAAUUAUUCUGUAUCCAGUUGUUUAAUCUGGAUUUAUUUUUUACCUGAAAGUUAAAAGCCAUUCUCUGAAGACCUGUAACGACAGACAUAGUCUUUCUUUUUCCCCAAUGCACAUUUUCCCCUGAAUCAAUUAUUUUUAGAACUUUAAGAAAACUGCUUAUUUUAAAAGUGACAAUUUAAGAAAACAGUGUCACUAUUGCAAAGAAUUACUGUGACAGAGGCUGGAAUAUGAGCUCAGAGACCUUUAUCCUAAGUUAACUUCUCUCAUGCUGAAUAUAAUAGUUUUAUAAACGUGUAUUAAUAAUUAGGGACUAUAAUUAAAUAACAUUUAGCAAAUGUAUUGGAUAUUAUGAGAAAAACAUACAAUUGACAUGCAUAAUAAAAUAGUAUAGUUUUCAAGAACAUUUUGAAGCCAGGUUUUCUGAAAGCACCUGUAGAUGUGUAUGAACUAGGACUCAGUGUGUCUUUAUAUUUGGCCUGUGAGAACUUGCCCUUCAAAGUUUUAUUGAUAACUUCUUCAGAAAGCAAGUUUUGAAGGGUUCUUCUUAAUUACUGGAUAGAAAAGUGCUUCCAGACAACUUUAAAUAUGUUUAUUUAUCCAUAGCUAAAAUUUGUUGGGUGAACUCAUAAAUAUUUAACAUGUGUUUAUGUAUCUUAAUUUGGGUCUUUAUUGCCGUUAAAUAUAUGUUGUUUCAAUGUGGGAGCCACCCUUUAAUUUUACAGUUUGAUAUAAUAGUGACCAGAAACAUUUUAAAUGCACAGGUUUAUUUUGUUCUUUCAUUUUUAAUAGUUUCCUGAUUAAAAAUUUAUUGCUUCUUACUAAAGCAUUAUGUAUCUUUAUGUUUUUAAACUGAAACUGGGUCUUCCAGAUUUUCUCUGGAGGAAAUACAGAAAAGUUGGUCUUAUAUUUCUUAAGGCCAGAAAAAGAAGUGUGUGUGUAGGGGAUGGUGUUGUUUAACUGAUAUCCAGUUUCAUUCCUGAGCUAAGCUUGCUUCAUUCUUAAGGAGCCCAAGUCCUUUCUCUGGGACCCCCAGUGAACAGUCAAAAUGUUCUCCUUUCAGUGACUCAACUCCAGCUCCUUAAGUUCUCUGGAUUUGUUUCCAUAUCUGUUUUCUUUCCUGGCCCAUGGUCAGCAUGAAAAUCCAGUAAUAUUUCCCUUGUCUUCUUUAAUAUCUUUUCCAUCACUGCUUUCUACCUUCUUGUUCUCUGAAUUCUUUUGCUAAAAGCUCUCAAGUUCUCAUUUUUCCGUAACAGCUCUCAGAGUAUUCCCCACUCCCAAAUCUUUGUCUCCCCCAAAAUUACCAUAUAGAAUUUAUGAUGAUUCAUCUUGGGUUACCUGAGUCACUUUGCCCAACUUAAAUUUAAUUCUCUAUUGUUUUUUUUUCAGUUCAAAUAUUAACAUAAACAUUAACAUUUCUAAACAGUUACAAUUAUCCUGCCUUCCAUCAGACAUUAGCACAGUCCUUUCUCCUAGCAUUAUGAGGGGGUGUCUUAGAAUCUAUAGUUAUCCAAUUGGCUGUGAUUAAUGACUACUUUUUAAAAGAAAACACUGUGGGUUUAUUUUAGCUGCUGGCCUUGAACUCCUGGACUCAAGCGAUCCUUCCUCCUCGGCCUCCCAAAGUGCUGGGAUUAUAGAGAUGAGGUGUCACUAUGUUGCCCAGGCUGUUCUUGAACUCUGGCCUCAAGUCAUCCUCCUGUUUCGGCCUCCCAAAGUGCUGGAAUUACAAGUGUGAGCCACUGUAAGGUUGUGCUUCUGUGCAUUUCCUUAGCAACUGCACUUCCCUUGCUGCAGUGCUUCUCAGGGCUUUUUGUAACGGUCUAUUUACUUGCUUUAUUUCCCAUAAAUAAAUAAGACGUCGAGGGGUGGUAUCAAUGUUCUUCAUUUUAUCCUUUGGGUCCAACCAGCCUCCCGGCACGUGAAAUUUUACCUUCCUCUGAUUUUUAAGACCAUGGUUUGCCCUACUUUUCUACCAUUAUACUACUCUUUUUUCUCUUCUUUCUGCCUUAGUAGAUUAAUAAAGAAGGUAAUAAGUCCUAUGUAGGAAAGAAGAAGAAAAGCAGUAUGAGGGGACUGAGAUUGAGUGGGAGGCAUAGAAGGCAGCUUGUUCUAUUAAACAGGCAGUCGAGGAGGCUUCAUUGAGAAGGUGACAUUUGAACAAAGAGUUGAAGGAUGUCAAUAUAUACAGGGUAGUUAAAUACAAACAUGUUAACAGCACAUUUAAGGAAAUGGAUAAAUGAAAUAAAUGUAUACAUGGAAAAGGCAUGAAUAAGGAAAUAAAAGUGGUGUGUGUGUGUAGUGCGUGUGUGUGUGUUCUACAAGUUUUUAGGAAGACUUAAGAAUUCUGAGGAUUAAAGCUAGAAAGCUGAUUGAUUUUGAAUUUUUCAAACUGAUUAAUGUCUUCAUUUGAAUGAUCUUCUUUAUGAGAGAGGUUUAAAAUUAUUAAAAUACUUAUUCACUGUGGUACUACAUUUUAACAAAUUGAGGAUUCACUUAAGAUACAAAUAUUUUGAACUCCCUUAUACUCUCUGUUAUCUCUAUAAGGUUCUGUUUUCGAGGUUUAUCUAAAUACUUCAUAGUGAAACUUAAACAUUAGUUUUAUUAAAGGGUAAAUUCUAAUGUGUGGUGUGUGUGUGUGUGUGUGUGUGUGUGUGUGUGUAUGCACGUGUGUAUUUCUCUGGACAUGUCCACAGUCUUGGUUUCUGGAUUGUGCUUACAGCAGUAAUACCCACUGUAUAUCCAAAGUUAUUUUGAGCAUCAACCUAAAAUUGAUGAGCCCCAAUUACAGACAGUCAGUGGAGUUAAGACUUGGAGUUUUCCUUCAGGCAAACCUAGAUUGAAAUUAUGAUGUUCCCACCUCCUAGAGCAAAUUAUUUAACCACUUACUUUUCAAUGUCCUCAUCUGUAAAAUGAAGAUUCUAAUAGAAUUAUUUGAAGGUUAAAACAUAUUUCACAUAAAGCACGUGGUGUCCAUUAAAUAAUGAGGGAUUAUUAUAGUUAAAAACACUAUGUAUUUGAAGUAAUACACAUUCCUGUAUAUGGCCUACAUUAAAAAAAACUUAUUUUAGCUGAUUUAUGACAUGAAAAUUAUUAGAGACCUACAGAAUAAUUAAAGCUUUUUAAAAUAAAUAAGUUCUCUUAUUCCGGAGCUGCAGGCUUUUUAGACACUCUUGUGGGCAUUAUGUAAGUUUCUACCUACUCUCCAGAAAGACAUUUGUGUCUCUGGUCUAGCCCUUCUUCAUAGUUACUCCUUCAAGGAAUCCUUAUAGAUAGAUUGGUUGUCCUUACUAAAACUACCACCAAGCACUGGCUGUUUUAAUUUUUUGUUUUAAAUGGUUUCUAUAACAAAUGGUGGUGGUUAGGAGAGUCAAAGCAUGAAUGAUGAAAUGUACAUCUAAACUUGGGGCAGUUUGUCUAUGUGAACAAUGUAGGCUGUAUUUUUAGGGCUGUGAAGGUAGACAGUGGGGUGAUAUUUUAUAGAGAUGCUAAAUAUGUGGUUGACUGCUUAAUGUGUAUCAAACUUCAGCAUGAUGAAACUUUAGCCAUUAGUAUUCAAAGAGGAAAUUACUGCUGAUCCCUAGUGCCUGGAGAGACUUCGUCCUAUAUAGAAUUCCCCCUCCCCACUCCACUGAUGGCUAUUAAAAUAGCCCUAAAGUAAAUGCAUUUGCAUUUGUUACUAUGGAUGUUACUCUCCCAGGAGACAACAAACAGAACACUUAAACUCUGAGUGAACAGAAUGAUUGACAGUCUAAAUCUCUAUCCCCACUGCUUGCUGCCUCCCCACUUAAAUACAAACACAGAGAAGGAGUAACAAAAUGAGUCAAGGUAAAACAAAAUAUGGCAUUGAAAUGAGUUAUGUUAGAAUUAGAAAAUAGUUAAGAAAUAGAUUAUUGAGAAAGAAUUGGCUAUGAUGUUUAAGUUCAUCAACCUAAAUGUUUACUUGAGUGUACAUUUAGUUCACUAUUAGAGGCCAUUGAUUAUUUGGCAAUAACUUCGGUUUUCAGACCUACCUCAUUGGGAUUGUCUUAGUCCAUUUGUUCUGCUUUACAAAAUAUCUGAGAGUAGGUGGUUCAUAAAAAUAAACUUAUUGCUCGCAGUUCUGGAGGCUGGGAAAUUUAACAUCAAGGCAUGAGAAGAUUUGGUGUCUGAUGAAAAAACUGUGUGUAUAUAUAUGUAUCUUUUACACACACAUACAUAUAAAACAUUGUGCAGAUUUAUAGCGAAGGUAUAAAUCUUUUAUAAUUCCUAGGAAGCAUCAGAACAAUAUAAUAAAUGGCUGAAUAAAGCAGAUAUAGCUCAUUUGGGCCUUAAAAAUAGAAAUAAUUUAGAGAUUAGAUGAAUAAAGAGAUAGGAUGAUUUGAUAAAGGUUUCUGCAUGAGAGAGAGACUUAGAGUUUCCUCUAGCAGUAUUUUUCUAAAGAGAAACUUGCCUAAAUUUUAAAAGAUAUAUUCUUGUAAUACUUAAAUAAGGCCUUUUUGGUUCUAAUGUUGGCUUUUCUUUAAAGCCAUCAUUUUGUUUGGAAGAAAAACUACUUAAUGUCCAUUUUAGUCCCUCUUCCUUCAAAGACAUUUAAAAGGAAGUCAUGUUUGUACUAGUGGACCUCUUGGGCAAAUAAUAUUAAAAAGAUAUUGUGUUUGAUUUGUGAAUGAAACCCAGGGUUGAUUUUAAUACGGUCAUCAUAAAAUAAGUUAAAGGACAUUAUUUCAUUGUGCAAUCUAAUAAACCUAACCACACUAUUAAGAUUCAGUUAAAUUCAAUUUUACUUUACUACUAAAAAUAUUUUCAUGAAAUACUAUCCUUAGAUUUAAGAAACGUUUCUAUAGUGAUGGUUAAUUUGUAUUGGCAAUUGUAAAUAAAGUUGUUUGAUAGAAUGCAAAGACUAGGAUCAUAUGUUGCUAUCGGGUCUACCUAACUUUCCCUAUCUGUCAUAUUUUAUAGAGGAAAUAUUUGUAGGUUAUGGACUUCAGUGUGAGACCUUUGGCUGUGAAAGUUUAUUAGCUGACUCCAGUUACACUGAUUUAUGCAGUAGUAAAUAUGAUGAAAGGGGAGGGAUUGUGUUUUACUGGCAGCUCCCUUUCUCAUCUAUCAUGCUCUUUGUAUUUGCAUGUGCUAUUCUUUUCCUGAAAUACAUUUAAAAAAUUUCUUCUCCAGAUAAAGCCUAGUCAUCCUUCAAGACAAGUCUGGAAUGCUACGUCAAUUUAUGAAGCUUUAUAGUCUGCCACUUCCUCCUGUCCAUCGUCCUCAUGUCUUGGCCCCAGCAGAGUUAGUUUCUUUCUUUCGUGUACAACACAAGAGGCAUUGUCAUUAUUGUUUAUGCCUUUCUCUCCCACAUGCAAUUACUGGAGGCCAUGUCCUUGCCUCAUUAAUUGUUGUCUUGCCCAGUACUUGGCACAUGGUUGGCAUUAGUUUAGACAGACCAAGAUAUAUGUGAUAAUUCUUGUAAUGUAGAUUCUAUAAACAUACUUAGCUCUUUUCUGAAAGUUCUUGGGGCAUUCACUUUUUGACAGCACAAAUUGUAAAUCUUGGAUAAAAUCAUUAUCUGCAUUGGUUGUGAUGGUAGUUAGACACAUUUCAAAGGGUUUGUUUUUCAACUUAUUUCCCAUGUAUUGCCACAAUUCAAAGUUGCCCAUCUCUCCUCACCCCGAAUGGUAAUUAGAUAUUGACUCUUUUCAGGCAAAUUUCAGUCAGUUUUAGGGUUUUCUAAUUAAACAACGGAAGGAUACUUGUGAUAGCAUUUACAUUCUGUAGUUUUGUAUUCUACAUAUUUUACAUUAAAAUAUAUGAUUGCCUUUUCCUACCCCUGUAUAAUUUAGGUUUAUGAGAAAUUGUUAUUUUCCUUUCUUAGAUAUUAAAAUGAUACUCAAAGGAUGCAAACAGAAUUAUGAAGUUUAGACAAUUAGAGUCUUCGUGUCUAUCUUUAAAUUCAUGCAUUCAGUCUGGAAAUGAAGUACGGGUUUUUUUGCAGGAUGAAAUAGAAAUUACAGUGAAGUGGACUGUUAGGAAUAAAUGGAUUUCUUUUUCUUUUUUGAAGCUUUCAACAUUGUGUUCGGCAAAAUCUUUCAGUAAAGGUAACACAUUCAUAAGGAUUAACUGUGUCCAACAGUGUUUAUCAGAAAACCCAACAUAUUAGGGGCCUAGACAGUACAGAAAUACAUUUCUCUGUCUUGGAAAAAGAAGUUUAGCAGUAAGUGAUGCAUGGCUCUAUGUUGUCUUCAUGAUCUGGAGAGACCAAAGCUCCUGCCUCACCCUCCUCCUCCUCCUCCUCCUGCAUUUUGACUCUGGCGUUCAUUCUCUGGAUCACCUCACAUUAAAGAUGGCUUCUGGUGCUACACCUACCUCAUCUACAUUCCAUAUUGCAUGAAGGAAACAAAGGAAACAAACAGAGUGACAAAAGGAAUGCAUUUUCCAGCUAAUCAGCAGCUUUCUAGGAAAUUCCACACAACGCUCAUGUAUCAUUAGCUUGAAUUUAAUCACAUGGCCACACCUAGCUGAAAACGUUGGGAAACGUAGUCUUUUAACUGAGUGUAUUGCCCCAUAAAUAAAAUUGAAAAGGAGAGAAUGGAUACUAUGCACGAUUAGCAGUCACUGUUAUUUUCAAUUUCCUCAUCUUUAAAAUGAGCAAGUGAGUGGCUUUCUCAUGGUAGUUUUAUGAGGAUUAAGGGGGAUACUGCGUAAAUGAUUCUUAGGCCUGGAACAUAGUAAACAUUAACAUAGUUCCCUUUCUAAUUCUCAUUUCCCUUACCAUUACUGUAACAUUAAAGCAGCGGGAAGUCUCAAGGCUUUAUGGACUCUUAUGAUGAUCCACAUUAACUUGUGAAUUAUUUCACUUUCGGGACUAAUAUGUGCUUUGUUUUGCAAUUGGUGUCUCCUUGCAUUGUCUCCCUUCUAUAAUGCCUUACUCAGUGUUGGGAUGUUAAAUGGGAGUGUUAUAAUAAAAUCAUAAAUAUGAAGCCUUAACAGUAUAUCUGGAGCAAGAGAUCAUUAAAAUUAUUUUAUUACUACCGUUUCUAUUAUGGAAAUUAACUUAGAAAACUAGAUAAUUUAACUAGAGUGAUAGUCCAUUUAUAUGUUGCUGUAUAAAAAACUUCCCAAAUCUAAUGGCAUAAAACAACUACUGUUUUAUUAUGCUCACAAAUUAUGUGGCAGAAUUUGGACAGGGCAGUGAAGGGGCUGUAGUUGUAAUUGUGUUUCAGUUGUAAAUGUCUCAUUAACUUUAUAAAUUGAUUCCUGUUAUUUGUUUGGAAGUGAAAGCACAAUAAUAUCAAAUUCAGCUAAUAGCUCGCUUUGUCAGAUCACUGUAUUUUAGAUCGUUUCUGAUUUCGUUUGUCUCAAAUUAGAUGAACUUUUUUUUUUUUUUAAGUCCCGUAUCAUCCCUGCUGUUGACCCAGUGCACACCACAGCACCAAUGGCUUCCUUCAUUCUUAUGUCUUUUAAUUUUUUUUCAAGAUCAAAAUGUGGUAUUUCUAUUAAAUCCAUAUUCCCAAGUCUAUCACUGACACAUUUGCCCUCCUAUGAAUAAUAUCACUGUAGUCUGUGAUAGAUCACAAUGUCAAGAAACUGAUCUUGUUUCAAUUUUUAACUCUGUUGAAAGAAAUAAAAAAUUCCAUUUGCUUCCAAGUUGUGGAGAGAAGAAAGAAGACAAUUAUUCAAAACAAUAGCUUUAACAUAAUAUUUAUUUAUGGUUUCUAAUUAGUUCUGUUGAUUAUUAUUCUUAAAACCACAAUAAUCCUUUGGUAGCAAGUAUAUGUUGUGUGGGCCAGUGAACCUAUUUGUUUAAGUCCAUAGACAAGAUGUGUAUUUAAGAAGAUUAGGGUUCUUUGAACAUAGUAUUAGACAUACUAAAUAGGUAGCUCAGGAAGACAUUAAAUGUAUUUUAUUAGUGCAGUUUUUAAAGACAAAGAUAAAUAUUAAAAUUCAACUCCCCCCAAAACCCAAUAUGGAUGUGUUUUGGUAGAUAUGAUGAGUAACAGUUGAAAGUAAAAAUCAAAUAAGAUAUGAUAAUUAAUGUUAAUAUGGUAUCAGUGAUCAUCUGUAGUCAGUUUAUACAAACUUAUUAAAGAUUAUUUCACUUCAUACCAUUUUUCAAUUUAUUUCGCUUAAUUGAAUUAGAGGUGUGUGUGUGUGUGUGUGUGUGUGUCUGUGCGUGUGCGCACGCGCACACCCCAUGCUUUAGGAAGGAGGCACAGCAGUUUUGGGGAAAAUGUGUGUGUGGCCCCAGCUGCCUGAUUUUUCUCUGAGAGUCAGAAGUGGUGUCUGAGUACAUACAGGGUGGUUCUAAGAGUUAAAUUUCACUCUUUUUUAAAAAAAUUGGGCAACAUUUGCUUUCAGAUUCUCCAGACACUGUAUUAGCAUUCGUCAUUCUCGUAUCUUUUACUCACCCGGGCUGCUUCUUACCUGGGCCAGUAACCGGAACUUCUCUGGUCUCUUAUUAUCAUUUUCUCUCUUUUGGGCCCUCCUUUUAUCUUAAUCGUAUUUAUUCUAUCAUAGUCAUUGUUAAGAGCGUUUAUCUUAACAGAAAAAAGAAAAAGAAAACAGGAGCUGAGGACUUAUGCUCUCUCUCUCUAAUUUUGUUCUACUUUAUACAAUUCUACCAACUUACCACGGAAUCACAGACUCCUUAUCCUUUUUAUCAAAUAAUUUGAAUUAUGUGGAACCAAUUCUUAUUUUUGUUAUUUGAUGCACUACAGCCACUCUUUAAAAACUGCUGUAACUCAACCAGAGAAGGAUAUAUCUUUAAAAAUGUUUCUGGACCAGCCACCAGUUUCUUAUCUCUCAAGUGGUAGUACUGGGGAAGAUUUGCAAAAUAGCCCCCAGAAAAUUAGGAUCUGUGCAUAUUUAUAAGAGGUUAAUUUUGAUUUCCUUUGUAAUAACGGGAAAUUAUUUUGAGAUAGGCUUGUUGGUAUCCUUGAUUAUCUGUGUGGUGUCUGCAUGAAAGAGGAAACAAGUAGAUUUUCAGGAAGUUUUCUUAAUAGUUCAAUGCAAUCAGACUGGCCAAUAUUGAGAAUUACUGCGCCAUAAAUAAUUGUGGUUGGUUUCUAACUUUGAUUUUAUUCAGCCUAAUAACAAGUAUUGCUCUAUAGAUAAUUGUUGACGGUUGCAGACUCUGAUUUCGUUCAAUUAAGCUGGUAACCUUUUUAAGAAACUGCUUGGGAGAAAGCCAAGAAUUCCAGUGAACUGAUUUCUAGGGGGACUGAAUUGAAAUUGUGUUAGCUUCAAAAAUGUUUCAUGUAGGUCCAGCUGUGUUAAUUAACCUUUUCCUUAAACUACCCUCUCCACAAUUGGAACCCCAAAUCGGCAAACAUAGCAAAGGACCAUUUUAUCUAGAUUUAGGUUUUUCUCAAAGUGAUUAUAAACUUGGAAAGACAUUAUAAAAUAGGUUUUUGACAUAUAGUUUUUUAUCCACCCCUUGAUAGCAACAGUUACUUCCUAUAUCCCUGGGACAACUAAGCGGAGGACAGUAGUUAACUAAAGUGGCUUUGAACAGUGGCAGAAAAAUGUGCUGGGAAUACCUUAUAUUCUAAGCAACCUCCAAUUUCUAGAAGAUAUCUGUCUCAAAUUGGAGUUAGGAUGCAAAAUGCAAAAUUUAUCUCAAGAGGAAUAGUUAUCUUUUAUUUGCUGAUUAAGCUAACCAAAUAUACAUCUUAUUAUUUUGUUUUGUUUUAGCCCAGGGUCUAAUAAAGUUGUAUAAGAAUUUCUUGGGCCUCAGCCAUUUAUUUGAGGUAAAUACUGUGGUUUGAGAAAAAUUUUCAUGUAACUUAAUUUCCUGAGGAAAUGAUCUAUGAAAUAUUUAACAUCUAGUUGCUAGCAUACUUUUUAGUGCUAAUAACCAACUCCAAAGAGAAAGAAAUGGCAUUCUUUUUCAUUUUAUUCCAGUGGUGUGUGGCAUGUUAAAAUAUGACACAUAUUUGGAAAAAUACAUUAUAUAAAAUUAAAUGUUAAACCUGUAAUGCAUCAUUUGAUUGAUUGAGCAAGAUAAUUUCUUGAGAAACAUUGCUACUAGAUUAUGGAAAAUAUAUGAUCAAGUUGUUAAGAUGGCAAAAACCUACAUUAAUUCUUUAAAACUAGGGACAUUUAUGUAUUUGGAGAGCACUAUUGGGAAAAUAAGUAAUUGCGUCAACUCAUUCAUCAUUUGCCCUUUAUACUUAGAGCUUUAAGAAGAGAAUGAUAAAGAAACUUGAGACCAAGAGAAAUUAAAUGGCAUGCUCAAAGUUACAUGUCAAAUGGUUGCUACAGAAACCAGCUCCUCUAAUUUAGUUCUCUUUCCAAAUAGCAUGGCAAAGACAUUUGUUACUAUAUAUAAAAAACAAUACUUGUUUAAAUGUAUUUAUUAAUAGACAUACUGAUUUGUUUUCAUACCCCAAUUUACUUAGAGGUAUCAUAAUACAAUACAUAAUGAUUUAAACCUGUGGGACAUGCAAAAAGGAAUCAUGUUUAAAGGUCAGAAUACAUAAAGGUUAAAUGUCAGAGGCCCAGAAAUAAGAGGUACAGCUUUUAAGCCUAAACUUUAAAUUGUAGGCUCUGUAAGUGCCAGGACCAUGUUUUCUAGGUUUUCAUAAAAGUAAACCUUAAAGGUCCGAGAACUCACAGAAUAUUGUUGCCUGAAUAAUUAAAUAUUCCAAAGAAGGUGAGAAUUUCAGAGAAUUUUACUUGUUACUAACACCAGUAUUUCCCACACUGGAAUAAUACUAUUUGUUUACUUUUCAGUUAACACUCUUAAUAUGAAAAAAACCUGCUUAUUUGAAAUUAGACAUUUCCUGAAGCAUAUCUGUCUAGUCAAAAAAGGUCCUAAUCAUAUUAGGAGAGUGGCAAUUAUAGUAGUUUAGACUUUGCGUAUAACAUAGCGAUACAUUAGAGGAAAGAAGUAUAAAAUGCCGAGGCAGGAAAUUAUUGUUAUCAGAAGUAUAUUUAUACUACUGUGGCCAUUAGGCAGACUAAACAUAAGAAUGACCAAGAAAUGGAAAAUAUCCUCACACCUGCCAUUUAUAACAGCUAAUACAUAUGGAGUCUACUGCUUGCCAUGCCCAAAGCACCUGAUUUUCUCUUUAUGACUUUACUGAUCAGUUUUUGCAUUGUCUGUAAUCAUGUUGAGACUUCAUUUUGGAAGACCUGAUACUGUUGUUUUCUAAGUUCAAAUAGAAAAGGGUAAUAUUCAUAUGGCACUUUUGUACUUUGGAAAACUCUGUCUCAUAAUAAGCUGAGGAAACCUGUGGUUACAGGAAAGAAGAGUAAACAGUAUCAGUUAUUGAGAGCCUCCUAUAUGAGAGGCAUGUGAGACACCUUCCCUUAGAAAAUGGUAAAGGAAGGUAUUAGUGUUCUUAAAAAAAUAAUAGUAACAGGGAAAUCUAGCUAUGAAGUGGCAGAAUUCAAAUCUAGGUCUUCAGAGUUGAAGUCAGGCCUAUAGACUCAAGUGACUUCCGGGGCCAGGGAGGAAAAAUGAAAUUGUGAAAUUUAUAUGUCUUGUAAAUCUUUGCUCUUCACAGUUGUAUAGCAUUGAAUGUCUAAGGCCUUGCUCUUCAAGACUUGACAGAAAUGACUGUUACCGUGUUUUUCAAAUGUCUCAUCUCACAUGAGGUUAUGCAUUAUAGCAUUAAGAACUAUAACUCCCCUAGAGCUAUUUGUGGCUUAGAAUAAGAGUUUUGUUAAGAUUUCUUAGUACUUUAGACCUUAAAUGGAAAAAAUUGCAAAGUGAAAUCUAUCUUAUGGUACAUAGUGCUUUUAUACACACAUCAAUGUGAAGUAGUUCUUUAUGAGAUUGAUUUUGUAGCAUUGAACAACAACAACAAAAAGUAAAUUACUGAAGGCUGAGACAGGGGAUGAUGAUAAAACCUAGGUGAAUCCAUAUACAACAUAAUAAAUGAGCAAAGGAUUGAGAAACCUUAAAGUGCAUAUGUAGCAAUAUCAGAGGAAGAAGCUGCUGUACUUUGAAUAGCUUUGAAAUCUCAGAGUGUCCUGCAUAGUCGAUCUAGUCUGAAAAGUUUGUUUCUCUAUGUUCUUUGAAAAUUUGAAUUAGAUUGCUUUAGAGGGAGCAUGCAUGUUUCAGUUUGGCAUAGAUGUUGCCACUUGCUAUUACUUCUUCUCAACCCACUUGACCCAUUUAUAUAACCUGCCUGGUCCCUGUAGGCCUUUAAGUGUGAACCAUGUCUAGACAGAUCAAGACUGGGCAUUUGGUUACUUACAUAUCUAAAAUAAAAGUGAUGUCUGUUGGCCUCAGGGGAGACCCUGUUGAAUCUAUUUAUUCUCUUAAAAAUAAAAGUAGAAAACUAAAUAAAGAUUAAAGAAGUAGACAUUUGUGAAUCAACUUUUAUUUUAUUAUUUUUUCCAAGCAUUAGAGCUCAGACUCUGUAGCACAGGCCAAAGAAAGGCGUUAGUGAAAAGACAAUAAGCUGGCAUCAGAGUUCAUGAUAUAAGGGUGCAGGCCCAAAACAGAAAGACGGGAGAGUUAUUCUGGUGAAAUGAAGAGUAAGUACCUAGGUGCAAAGGCUGCUAGACAGAAGAAGUUGAUUAUCUUACUCUGAAAACCAAUCCAUUAAAUAAAGGUCAUGCUGCUGGGGAGAAAGGAAUAUAUUAUAGUUUCCUCAACAUCUUUAGUAUGUUGACAUCCUCAACAAAGAAGGCUCUUUCCCCAUCAUUACUCUAGUGCUUCCCUGACAAACCCCAUUAGAGACAUGCAGCUAAGAUCUAAAAAUAUUUCUUUUUUCCUCAAGGGAAUUUUCUCCUCAAAUCAAAACCCUGGAGUUUUGAGCAAAAAUAAUUAAUGAGCUAGUAACAAAUUGAAUUUUAGCUUUUAGAAAACGACUAAAACGUUUUCUAUGCUAUUUCUAGUAGUAGUCUCAGUGUUGAAAAUCAGAAACAUGACAUCAGAUUCCAAAAUAUCUUAGCAAACAUUGCAGUACUAUUUCUUUUUCUUUUCUUUCUUUCUUUUUUGAGACGGAGUCUCACUCUGUUGCUCAGGCUGGAGUGCUGUGGCAUGAUCUCAGCUCACUGUGAUCUCCACCUCCCGGGUUCAAAUGCCUUAUCGCCAUGAAGCAAAUGCAGGAGAGAUUAGGGCAAAGUAAAUCAGUAGAAUUUCGUUAUUAGAUCCAGGAUGUUAGCUGGCCUUGACUGAGCAUUAGUUGCUUGUCCCGUUAAAAUCUUCUUGAGCAGUAUUCUAUUUCUUUUAUUUAGACAAAACCAUAACAUUGAUUUGGAAAAGAACAUUUUAAAAUUGGAAGUAUUAUAUUUAAAAAUAGUUUUUAAAGUUUAGAAAGUCUUUUCAGUUUAUCUCAUCAACAUCAUCUUUCUAGAUUCACCAAUGUGAAUAUACCUUCCAAACCACCCAUUUUGUUUCUCUGUACUGGUAGGGCACUUGGCUCUGUCUCUAGCUCCUCUAGCUGUGGGAACUAUAUCUAACUUGUCUUUCAUUUGGCUAUCAAGAUUCUGUAUAGAAUGACUUCUGAUUUUCCUUUCUGCUAAUAGGGAAUAUUGUCAUAAAAUUAAAUAUAAUAAAAUAAAAACUGAUAACUUCAGUCUCCUCUAAUCAUUCAUUGAGAUGAAGCUGAGAAUACUAAUUUGCAUAUUUUCAAGUUCUAAGGAGGCUUCAUGAGUAGUCUGUAAAGAAUGCUAUUUAUAUGCUUUCAUUCUUUCUCUAAAGUAUGGCAACUGAUAAUAGAAUUUUCAGCUAAAGAAGAUUGAAAAAGAUACCUUACAAACAACUGCCCAAACAUGCAUUAAUUUGCAGUCAUAUAAGUGAGAGAGGCCUUCUAAGGAUCUUUUUAUUCAUAAUACUACAUCCAGCCAGUGUAUUGGAAAAAAUGAAAUUGAACACCAUAACUGGAACAGUAUCUAAUACAAUUCUUAUGGACAUCCCCCAAGCCCAGUUCUGUUGGGAGAGGGGCAUUUUCACUGAGAAAACUGUUUUAUGCUUUCUCCUUGUCAUGUUCCUCCCCUCACUAAAUAACAUCCCUUACUCUCUCCCUAAGGUUGGGCAAAUUUAAAUAAAUACAAAAGCCAAAGUAGGGAUUCUGGCGUAAUAUAAGGAGAUAGUAAGAGGACACUAAAGGCAGAAUGUCUAGGCAGAAAACCUGGCUCACUACUUACAAGCUGUGUGACCCUGGGCCACUGGUUCCUCAGGUUACUCUUCUAUACAAUGGCUGUUAUGAAGGUUAAACAAAAUUACCCAUGUAAAUCUGUAGCAUAGUGCUUAAAUUAUGGUAAGCACUUAGUAGCUCUUAGCACUUGUCAUUAUAAUUUGAUUUGUGAAUCUUAUGGAAGAGAUACUUAAACGUAAAGUUGUAUCUUGAAAAAUGGAAAACAAAUAAACAGAACAUACCUCCCCUAUGAAGGAAGUAUUGUGGGUCUUUGUGUGUCCACUAGCUAUUAGAUCAUAGGUACAGAAAGCUUUGAACAUAUACUAGGCUCCAUAAUUGUAUCUGGAUCAUUGAAUUAUGUUGAUUAGUACCACAUUUUGAACCUAUCCACACGAAUCAGCCACAGCUUUUAUAAUCUUUAUGAAAUUUAUCUGAGAUUAAUUUAGAGUUGAUGACCUAUUGGACUUGGCAUUCAUAUAUUAUCAGAACAUAUGGUUAGGUUGAUUAAUAAAUUAAAAUACUUAUGAAAUUUAGCAUUCUAAUUUAUUACAUUGUCAUAUCAUUACAAACUUAAUGUAGUGGCUUAUAUUCUAUCUUUCUCACUAUUUCUCUAUGUUUAAGCACAUGUGCACACACAAUGGGCUGAAGUAUAAAAUAUCCUUGGAAAGACAGUAAAUUUAAUUUUGUGUGUUUACUUCAAUGGGAAAGUAUUCUAAAUGUGAUGAUAAAAAUGAGUAUAAUAACAAAACAAUCUCUGGGAGUUUUGAGGCUAUAGUUGUGAAACUAGUAAUAUUAACUACAACUUAUAUGAAAGAGACUGAUAGUGUCUGGGAACCAGAUUAUUGUUCAGCUAGUCCCACCUAUAGCUAGUUAUCAAAUACUGAACACUUGCCUUAGCAGAGCAGGGCUGAGCAGGGAGCAGUGUUGGUGAACUGCUGAGACACGUUGUGUAGCAGCUGGAGGUUUUGUGAAGUGGAAGACACCAAAGUCAAACUCAAGUUCUGAGUGUAUUGAGAGGAAAAGAGCUGGGAAACAGACUCACCAGAAGGAAAAGCGCAGACACAGAGAGUGGAGAGUAUACGAUUCUCUUUCCUCUUUUGUGUUUUAAACCAUCAUUACCACAGCCUAUUGAUAGGGUUCUGCAUAAAACAUGAUUUCUGCUAGGUUUAUAUUAAAUAUGGUUGUUGAACAAAGCUUUCUUGAUUUUGCCUGUAAACCCUAUGAUUUAAAAGCAGUUGCUCACAAUUCUAAAAUGGAUUUAUUUUCAUGCUCUCACAAUGAUAUCAAAACUGUACUUUAACUGUAAAUGGAAAUAUAUAAGUAGCUGAAGUACUCAGAUUUCAUACUUAUGACUUAUUUUAGUUAUGAUAUACACAACUGUGCUGCAUAUAAUAUUAGUAAAUGCCUACUUAUGUGUUCCAUGUCACAGCUGCCUUUGUUAAUCAGAAAUUAAUAGAUUCAGAUGACAGUGUUUUGAUUAAUGCUACAUUUGCUGAUAAUACAUAGAAUAAAGCAUAGAAUAUUUGUAAACUCACUUUUUAAUAAGCUAAUCCAACUACAAAUCUGUUAAUGAGAAUUCUGAUAUAGCAAGCAGUGAGCUUUGGGGAAAGGUCAACCAAUGUGGGAAUAGAUUUAAAUCCUAGCUCUGACCUUCCUAAUUAUGUUACCUGGAGCAAGUAACUAAAUCUCACUCUGCCAGUUUCUCCACUUCACAGAUGUGAAAAGGUCUCUUGUGGGUUUUAGGGAUAAAAUAGGUAAUGAACUUAAGAGCUUUGCAUAGUGACUGAAACAUACUGUAAUUUAUCCCUUCUGAGACCUACACUGGUAUGGACAGUCCCCAACUUACAGUGGUUCAAAAUGAUUUCUGACUUUAUAAUGCCACGAAAGUAUACACAUUCAGUAGAAACCACUUUCGAAAAUACUUCGAAAUUGGAAUUUUGAUCUUGUUCUGAGCUAGCUGUGUGCAGUAAGGCACUCUUGUUUUGUUGGGCGGCAAGCUGCAGCUCCCAGUCAGCCCUGCGAUCACGAGGGUAAACAACCUUCAGGUCAAGUGUGUUUCCAGCUGAGUACAUGUGUGGUGAGUACCCAUAGCACAAUUCCGUUUUUCACUUUCAGUACAGUAUUCAAUAAAUUACAUAAGUAUUGAGCAUUUUAUUAUAAAGUAGGAUUUGUGUUAGAUGAUUUUGCCCAACUGUAGGCAAAUUUAAGUGUUCUGAGCAUGUUUAAGGUGCCUAAUUUAUAAAUUUACCUUUAUCAUAGCAGAUUUGUAAAUUCAGUAGAUAUGUGAAAUAAAAAUCAGCAGUUGCCUUGCCUUAUAUUUUGAUAGAUAAAUUGCUUAAGGAUUUAAAAUCCAUGCACAGUAUGGAUAAUAGAUACUGGAUUAGAAUUAAGGGAUUUAUUUAGUCUCCUUUUCUCAGAAAAUCAAGAUUACUUCAUGUCAAAACAGUGUUGUCAGAAAAUGUAAAUAGCAAAAGGCUUUACCUGAAACUUCAUUUGGAAAUGAAGACUCUCAUUUUCAAAAUAUAGUAUCAUUAUAAGAUAUGAUAUUGUGUACCUUUAUUUCUGAAAAUAAGCACCUUUACACAAAGCUAAACACCUUAAAUUAUAUUUAUAAAAUAUUACUUCGUGAAAGAAGCAAUGCUCAAAUAUGUGAUUAAUAUUUCCAUUCUUUGACUCACUUAAUUUUACGUUAAGUAUAUCAUGAAAUUAAAAAUGCAUUACUAUGAUAUAUUUGACAUACAUCAUAUUGAUACUAUUUGAAAACGGUCACUAUUUCAAAAGAGAAAGAUCACUUUUAGAGCAGUUGACACUUCCCCUACUCCAAAGAUACCAUAAACAACAAAAAAUAGUAGAUCAAUGUGUAGCACAUUAUUAUAAAUACAACAUUAUUCCAGUCAUUAUAUGUUUCUUAAUAAGAGCAAUGAGCCUAUUUCUGUGUUUGAUGUUGUCUGUUGCACUUUUUGAUUGCAUGGGUAACAAGUUUAUUUUACAACUGGUCUGUUUUUAAAAUAGAUAAUUCUGAUCUCGGCUACAUUUAAAAACAUUACUAAAUAGAUCCCAGAAAUGUUUUUUGAAAAGAAAACCUUUUUGGGGGUGUCUGUGUGUCUCUUUCAUUGCAUUGAAUAGGCAGCUACCUAAUCAGUUUAUUAGUUUGCAUGUGCCUCAUAUAAUAUAUGCUAAAUUGCCGAUUUCAGUCUUUAUCAGUGGAAUGGGGACGUGUCUAUACUUUGAGGAACUAUGGGAAAAAUAAAGAUGUUGAAAAUAAAUUUUUAAUUUAUUGAUGAUUAUAAAAAUGUGCAUUAUUUUUAGUUUUUGCCUUGAAUUUCCGUAAAGUUUUAAGGAACAGUACUUAUUUUUAACAAAACAUUUUUUUUCCUUGUUUUUUACUUGAGUCAUAUGACUUUAAUUGAAGGCACAAGGUAUCCUGGAGAUGAGGAGGGAUUUUGAAUUGGCAGAACUUACUAAAUUCCCACCUUUUUUUUUUUAACCCUAAAUUAUUCUCUUAUUUUUGAUGCAGGGUUUGUUUUAAUUAUCUCAAGAGAUUCUUGUGUUAAAUGAAAUACCCUCUGGAAUGUUACUUAGUACCUACCACUACAACUGUUACCACCGCCACCGUCACUACCGUCGCCACCACCACCACCACCAUCAUCACCAUCACCACUGCCACUGCUACUACUACUGACCACUAUUACAGUAUCAUUUGCGAGACUUCCUGCUGUGUGUUUUACCUUAAGAAGCUUAUAUAAUACUUUAUUUUAUUUUAUGUUUCCAUCCUUUCACUCUAAGGCAAUUAUAUAAUACUUUAAAUAGCCAUUAUAUACAUAAGGAAACUGGAGUGAAAGAAGAAUCAGCUCUUCAAGAUUAUACAACUAGCAUAUAUAACAUUCAGGAAUUUUAGUUACUGUUUAUUUUUUACUGUAUUAUACUUUUGUUACUAAUUAAAUUGAGUAUGUUUUAAUUAU
rnacentral:lncRNA from 1 species